UACAGAGGGUGCGAACGUUGCUCGGAAUUACUGGGCGUAAAGCGCGUGUAGGCGGAUCCAUAAGUCGGGCGUGAAAGCCCCAGGCUCAACCUGGGAACUGCGUUCGAAACUGUGGGUCUUGAGUGUCGGAGAGGAUGGCGGAAUUCCUGGUGUAGAGGUGAAAUUCGUAGAUAUCAGGAGGAACCCCGGUGGCGAAGGCGGCCCUCUGGACGACAUCUGACGCUGAGCCGCGAAAGCGUGGGGAGCAAACAGC
rnacentral:rRNA from 1 species